rnacentral:rRNA from 1 species
UGGGGGAUAUUGCACAAUGGGGGAAACCCUGAUGCAGCGACGCCGCGUGGGUGAAGAAGCGCCUCGGCGCGUAAAGCCCUGUCAGCAGGGAAGAAAAUGCGGUACCUGAAGAAGAAGCCCCGGCUAACUACUUGCC